GGGACAGCCAAGUAGUAUCAAGGAUUCUAAAACUCUAACGACUAAGGAAAAUUAAGGUCUGUCCAAAGGACAGGAAAUCCCAGCGGGCCUAACUAGAGAUGGGAGAAUGUUACAGCAUGAACUCUGUAGUCCCAUAUUCUGAAAACACAGAGAACUACAGCAUGCAGCCUGAAAAUUCAGAGUCAGAUGUACAACCAAAUGAUGAAGUACUGUUUUCAGCCUCUGAAAGAACAAAAUCAAAACUUCUUGAGCAAGUUAACUGGCUGGAGGAAAAACUAGAAGCUGUGGAUCUUAAGGAAGCCAAUAGGGAACCAUAUGAAAAAAUAGUUCUCAUGAAAGACCAGGCUCUUCCUCAGAGCAGAAGAGGAAGAAGGGUGGGAAAAGAUGAUCUCUCCAAUGAUGCUUUCCAAAACAUCUAGUUGAGAUAAUAAUUCUACCAUUCACUGUGCCACACAUACUGUCAUUUAUAAGAUUUGAUAACUGAUAUAUAUUCAGAUAUAGAAUUCUUUGAAUAUGUAAAUGAAAGAGUUAUGCACUUGAUUUUUAAACUUUUUUCAUUUUCAGUACAUUGAGAAGCUUCAAGCUGAAAUAAAGUCUUCCCAGAAACAACUUAAAAUCCAUGUAAGCGUUUUUCUUCUUUUUUAAUCCCUUUAUUUAUAUAAUCGUC
rnacentral:lncRNA from 1 species